rnacentral:rRNA from 1 species
GGGGAUGUUUGAGGCAGAUUUGUGUCCGCCGUUUUGAGGCCAGCUUGCUGGUACCCAAACGGUGUUAGCAUUUUUUGUCUUGAACAUUUGAGUAUGGCUUACGGGCAUUUAUUGGUUCGAUCUGAGUGUAAGUUACGGUCGCAUGCGACACGUGCUUUCCAAUUAGUUCGGUCCAGUUAAUGCUCUCGUACUCGUUCCCCAUGUAAAAGCCGGUCAUCUAUCCGACCCGUCUUGAAACACGGACCAAGGAGUUUAUCGUGUGCGCAAGUUUUUGGGUGUUAAAAACCUAAAGGCGAAAUGAAAGUAAAUGGCUCUUUAGAGUCUGAUGUGCGAUCUUGUAAAAAAGUGCAGCAUGGCCCCAUUCUAACUGUUUACAGUAGGGUGGAGGAAGAGCGUACGCGGUGAGACCCGAAAGAUGGUGAACUAUUCCUGAGCAGGACGAAGCCAGAGGAAACUCUGGUGGAAGUCCGAAGCGGUU